AGAGUUUGAUCAUGGCUCAGAAUCAACGCUGGCGGCGUGCCUAACACAUGCAAGUCGAACGAGAAAGUGGAGCAAUCCAUGAGUAAAGUGGCGACCGGGUGAGUAACACGUGACUAACCUACCUUCGAGUGGGGAAUAACGUCCGGAAACGGACGCUAAUACCGCAUAAUGCAGCGGCAUCGCAAGAUGACAGUUGUUAAAGAUUUAUCGCUUGAAGAGGAGCUUGCGGCAGAUUAGCUAGUUGGUAAGGUAAUGGCUUACCAAGGCUACGAUCUGUAACCGGUCUAAGAGGACGGUCGGUCACACUGACACUGAACAACGGGUCAGACUCCUACGGGAGGCAGCAGUCGGGAAUUUUGGGCAAUGGGCGAAAGCCUGACCCAGCAACGCCGCGUGAAGGAUGAAGUAUUUCGGUAUGUAAACUUCGAAAGAAUGGGAAGAAUAAAUGACGGUACCAUUUAUAAGGUCCGGCUAACUACGUGCCAGCAGCCGCGGUAAUACGUAGGGACCAAGCGUUGUUCGGAUUUACUGGGCGUAAAGGGCGCGUAGGCGGCUUGACAAGUCACUUGUGAAAUCUCCGGGCUUAACUCGGAACGGCCAAGUGAAACUGUCAUGCUAGAGUGCAGAAGGGGCAAUCGGAAUUCUUGGUGUAGCGGUGAAAUGCGUAGAUAUCAAGAGGAACACCUGAGGUGAAGACGGGUUGCUGGGCUGACACUGAGCUGAGGCGCGAAAGCCAGGGGAGCAAACGGGAUUAGAUACCCUAGUAGUCC
rnacentral:rRNA from 1 species